GUCUCUCUCCGGAGCGCUGCCGCCUCCUGGACUCCCCGCUCCAGCUCCAAGGACCGGCAUCGCUGCCGCAGCCGGGAGGCCGAGAACGCGCGGUGGCGACGCCGCCCCAGGCCACGCGGCGAGGCGGUUCCGAACGGACUCGGGAUUCGCUCCUGGGCGCUGUGGGGCCGAGUGGAGCCAAGCGGCCGUUUUUCAGCUCCGCCCUUCCGAAAGGCUGCCGCAGGGUCGGGGCCACGUGGGGCCCGCGGCAGAGGGGCUGGGGGAACGCCACGGGCGGCCCUGGUGAAGGUGCCCGCCGGUCUCGGCCUGACCCCCAGGCCCUGUUCUGGCACGCGCCCCACCUGCGCGCACAGUGAGACCGGCGCCCUAGCCUGGGAAUCCGGGGAAUCUCCAGCCCGUUGCCUUUUCCAUAACCCCGUCUUCUUUUUCACACUAGCUCUGAGGGUGGAAGGCAGGGAGGUGCCAGCCACGUUCCCUUCCACAGAGGGAACUCCCUGUUGGAAUUCCUACCCCGGCUUCCUGCCGUCUGUCCUGGAACACAUUGCUCCAGGCCUCCGAGCCUCAGUUUCCUCGUUUGCAAAAUGGGGGCGAUAACAGAGCGUCCUCAAAGGGGAUAAGACGGAAGAAGUUGGCUCAUAUCAGGGCUCAUAAUUGUUGCCAAGUAUUAACAGGGCUUGGGGCUCCUGCCCACUCGUAUCAGGUCCCGGGACCCCCCCGGUGGUGUCCUCAGGGCUCCCGCCGUCCCAGGCCGCCCUCCACUUCUGGAAGCAGACACGAGGCCACGAGACCCACUGCUUUUGGGUAUCUGCUUUCAUUCCUGACACUGCCCUUUAAGAGAAAAAAGUACCCACAUUGUUCCCAGAUGGAGAGGGUCCCUCCCAGAGGGUGAGGCACUGCCACAGGGGCUCACGGCCCUGCCAGGAGUGGAAGGUGCACACCCAGAAGUAUUUCUCCUGUGAAGGAAGGGGGCUGAGCUUCGCUGCAGACCUGGCCUCAGGUGUGGAUGAGCUUCGCUGCAGACCUGGCCUCAGGUGCGGAGUCUGCGGGAGCAGCAUUUCCAGGCAGACCUGACAGAAGGUGCCUUUGAGAGGUGGUGAGCUCCGUGUUACAGGAGGCUUGUGAGCACAGGUAGCCCAUCUUCUGGUGAUGAUGCUGGAGAAGCAAUUCAAAUGUCAGAAGCAGGACUGGACUCUGUUUCCAAAACUCACGUCUGGAUUCUACCCCCUGAAAACAUUAUUUACACAAUGUUUUUCCUUUAAACAAUUCACACAUUUG
rnacentral:lncRNA from 1 species